rnacentral:rRNA from 1 species
AUUGAACGCUGGCGGCAGGCCUAACACAUGCAAGUCGAACGAGUGGCGGACGGGUGAGUAAUGUCUGGGAAACUGCCUGAUGGAGGGGGAUAACUCCUGGAAACGGUAGCUAAUACCGCAUACCCUCAGAUGUGCCCAGAUGGGAGUAGCUAGGUGGUGGGGUAACGGCUCACCAAGGCGACGAUCCCUUGCUGGUCUGAGAGGAUGACUAGCCACACCUGAACUUGGACACGGGCCAGAAUCCUACGGGAGGCAGCAGUGGGGAAUAUUGCACAAUGGGCGCAAGCCUGAUGCAGCCAUGCCGCGUGUAUGAAGAAGGCCUUCGGGUUGUAAAGUACUUUCAGCGGGGAGGCGUUACCCGCAGAAGAAGCACCGGCUAACUCCGUGCCAGCAGCCGCGGUAAUAC